rnacentral:lncRNA from 1 species
CGGGGGAAGGAGGAUACAAAUCUAAUAAUGUGGCCAAAUCAAGAGGAAACGUAUUUGGGGGCAAGGCUAAAAUGGGAAUGGGAGCAUGGCAGAACAUCAGGAUUCCACAUCUGGAAUCAGAGGGGCUGAGUGAAUGCAUUUACCUGAUCUUCUAUGAGUCAGCAAAACAAACACACAAAGCCAUCGUGAGUUUGGAAGCUGUGAAACUGCUGCUCUUUGCAAUGACAGAUCUUCCUAUGCUCUGAACUGCAGCAAUACAUUGAGGAAGUCACGACAGACAACAGAGGAAGUCCAAAGCAAGGACAACGCUGUUUAUGAAAAGGAGUGGUAAUGGUUCAGAGUGAAAAUUAACAGAUGUUGGGAUAAAAAUGUCUGCCUGGGUACUUUAUGGCUCCAAAGUAAAUAAUAUGUCCCUGAGUUUUAGCAGCUGUUUAGGGACUCCUGUAUCUUAGUGUUAGUUUAAACGGCAAGGUAAAGGAACUCAUGUAACUUAACACUGUUCAUCAACACAAACUUACUGGAUAUCUUUCUGAAAUGUGAAAACAGAUCUGUUUUCAGAUACUAUUCAACUGUGCAAGGAGGCAAACAGAUGUAUUCAUUAACACUCCCCACAGAGCAUAUUGUGAUAUUUGCAAAUGGAAAAUGCUGGAGCUGAGGUUACACAAAUGUUUUCUGUUAUGAAACUUCCUUCCAUAAGACCAUGAUUUUCAAGGAGGAUCUCAUUUAGGACUGUUUUUUGUUGUUAUACUUUCUGUAAU